rnacentral:rRNA from 1 species
UACGAAGGGGGCUAGCGUUGCUCGGAAUCACUGGGCGUAAAGGGCGCGUAGGCGGCCAUUCAAGUCGGGGGUGAAAGCCCAGGGCUCAACCCUGGAAUUGCCUUCGAUACUGUUUGGCUAGAGACCGGAAGAGGUUAGUGGAACUGCGAGUGUAGAGGUGAAAUUCGUAGAUAUUCGCAAGAACACCAGUGGCGAAGGCGGCUAACUGGUCCGGUUCUGACGCUGAGGCGCGAAAGCGUGGGGAGCAAACAGGAUUAGAUACCCCGGUAGU